rnacentral:lncRNA from 1 species
UAAGUUGUUGCCAAAAACUUGCGGAGCGGAAACUGCAGCAGAACAGAAAAAUACACUAAAAAAAUAUAUGUACAUGUAGCGUUUAAAGAACUCCAUGAACCAACCUCUUCCUCAUGUCUCUUAGUAGGAAUCAUUGCUUCCCACAAUUUUGUUUUCAAGCACAUGACCACCAAAAUAAACACUCCUCUCAACUAUUAAGUACCCACCACAAUUAUCUUACUUACUCCAACCAAAGACUUCUCUCUCCUCUCUAUAAAAUCUCGACGUUCACAAUCUUUCCUCUGCUUCCACAUGACACGCGGGGUCAGACUCCUCCAAUCCCAGUCGGUGACCCCACCGGAAGCCGUCGUCGUCAAGUUCGACUUCAUGUCUUCUUAAGUUCCAUCAUCACCAUUUUCAUAUUGUUUCAUAUGUAGAUAAGAUCAUUUAUAUAUAGAGACGAU